UUGUACACAUAAGUAUUUGUAGUGAGUGAUUUUUAUCGCAUUUAAAUGGACAAGUAAUCAGUGACUAACUGCACUUGCAGCACUCCAGUUCAUCAUGGAAAUUAUACGCAAAUUCUGUGAGUUAUUGAGUACAGAUAAAAGGACAUUUUCACAUUUUCAUAUGUAAAGAAAUUUAAUAAAGUGUAGGACGUUGAUUAGAAUCCAGGGAAGUCAGACUUAAUUAUUCGUUAGUGGGUUCCGCUGACUAAACUAAUUUUCAUGAAAACCUUCACACAUUUUAGCAAAAAAAAACAAUUAAAAUUAAAUUUGGUGCAAAUAGCAUCCAAAAUUGUAUUAAAGUUUUAACUAACGAUAAUUACGACGUACAUCCCUAAACUACAUAGCGAAGAUUAUCUACUACUUUUUCCGGAUUACGGAGUACACGACUUCGGCCGGAGUACGGGAGAACGCGAGAUCUCCGAUCUGAAUACAUAUGUAUCUACAUAUGCAUACCGAUAUUUCACGGGGAAAUAAAAAGGUCAGCUUUGUUAUCGCCGUGAAACAAUGAAGGUCAUCAAACUGUAGUGUCUUGGCGAGACACAAAAUACCGCCUAAGGCACAGAAUCCGGCUGUAUUUAUAUACACACGGUAUCCAAUAUAUCAAAUUAUGACGAUAAUAAUAAGCCAAUCAUUAAAUAGAUUCCGACAAGGAGGGCGAAUAAUAAAUAAGUCUGACUAUAACAGAAAACAGGACAGGAAUAACCUCAAUUUUGCUCAUGCACCAAAUAAUUUCAGGAAUAAAUAUUUUGACGUUAAUCAAAUCGUGAGGUGGACAUUGAUAAUAAUGUUCAGAAGCAAAAUAGCAAAUUAUAAAUAGAAAGUUGGAUCGUGAUCACAUAAUAAAAACU